GUGACAAAGACAACAUAGUCUACUCUUGAAUGCAGAGAGAAAUGGACAACACAUGUACAACCGGAGCUUUGGGCUGAUUCUCAGCACUUUGUUUUACCAGGAACUGGGAAGGUGCUGCACCAGGAACUGCAAUUCCUGGAACCAGUGAUCAGCUUCAGACAGAAGCAAGCACUGGCUGGAUUGCUGAGACAGCGAUCAAAAGGGUGGCACUGAUCUGUCACGUCAAAAGCUGGGUUAUAUGCAGACUGAACAAGAUCAACCCUGUUAAGCACCUGAAAGCUACAGGCAAAGGUCCAGCCAUGUAAUAAAACCUCAGACACUUGAAAAUCUUUCCAUUGUGCCCCAGGACCAAGGUGGAGUGAAGAAGGUUACUGCUUGUCCCAGGCUCAUGCAGACCAUUUUCAGAGAAGCCACUCCUGCACCUGGCUCUGCUGGCUGCUGGCCAAAGGCUGUGGCUUGCAGCAGGGGUGAUGGCCUGUGCCAGCGCACCAGGCAUCAGGAGGGGCCACCUGCCUGGGACACGAGUGUGGUAUGAGCUGAUAAGCUCACAACGGCUCGGGCUGGAAGCACACUGCAGGGGCAGGUGGUGCUGGCGGAGCUAAGACAGGUCUCAAAGAAGUCUGACCAAAGGCGUUACUUCUGUGCUGCCGCUGAAUUUUCCCCCUAUUUUGCACUCCAAGUUGAGCCACACUGGGAUGGGAAGGAGCAGCCAAGCCUGUAAAUUGUCCUGCCCCAGUGGACUAUGAUGGGUUCUUAAACCACAGAGCACACACUGCAGGUCUGACAGACUGGUGGGUGCAUCAGAAAUAAAACUCCAGAGCCCGGGGAGCAGAUGGAGUCACUGCUCACCGAACUAGAUGUUGCACAGAGGGCUAUGGUCUAGCUGACAAGAUGGUGAGCGGUCAAAGGUUGAACUCGAUGGUCUUGAAAGUCUUUUCCAACUAAAAUGACUUUGUGAUUCUUUGAAAACCAUCACAGAAGACUUAGCUAAAAGACCAUUUCAGAGAGAAAGCAACUGCAAAGCCAUUAAUCUUUCUUAUCAAGUCCUGCCCCUGAGCAGCUGUAAUUCCCCAGGUCAGGCCAUGAUGUGAGUGUCUUUUCCCCUUGUUUACCUGGAUUCUGUUGCAACAUGGCUUUGACAAUGCUGCAGGCUCUUGUUUUCAAUGAAAAUACCAGCAUUGUGCAGCCUCCAGACAGAGCCAGACGGCUUUCCAUGUAAACCACUGGAUUAUGCCAAUAUUUGACGCAUCUGCCAAUAUCUAGAAAAACAAGUCUAAAAGCCCAUAUUGUUAUAUAACAGAGAAACAAGGCAGGCUUGGUGCAAAGGGCUGCUGCCUCUCGCUCUCUUGAUCCUGAGGAAGACAGAGGAUGACAGAAGGAGAAUUCCAGUUUCAGCAGAGGCUGAAGCUUUUGCAUGCUAGCUGCAGGGGAGAUGGGAAAAGCUGCAGCCCUUCCUCCUGCCAAAGUGGGAAAAAAUCAGGCUCUCGCAGCAGCAUACUGAGCACAUUGUAGAUGCUUGAUGUGUUGAAAGAGAAAUCUGUGAAAGAUUUGAAAGAAAGGGGCUCUCCACUUUCCCAAGAGAUGAGCCUGGUCCUCUCUUCCUGCUCAGCUUGAUGAGAGGGAAAACUCCUGUUUGAGAUUCCCAUGCUGGGGGGCAUCAGGAUGGCCAAAAACUGAGUAAAACACCUGAGAGGUUUCAGAAACCCAGAGCCAAACAAGCCCUGUCCCAAAGAGCUGAGGAUCACCCUUUAUCUUGUUUCACCUGGCCACUCUGGCUAGGACAGAGCCCCUCUGUUGCUUGUGCUUCCUCCCCUCUGUGCGGCCAGGAAGGGACUAGAAGGAAGUUCCUCUGGGGCGUGGAGGGCAAGCAGGGCAAGGAUGCCCUCUCUUCUCUGCCAGGAGCUGCAAUGGGCCAGGAGACUGAAGCAGAAGAAGGAUGACAAAGCCCAGCAGCCCCACAGCUCUUCCAGCAGAUCCAUAAGCUGUAGACAGCUGCAUGUGGAGGAAGGGAGCGCUGGCCCUUGAAAUGGCAGCCCCAGUGCUGCUCACUAGGCACCUGCUGUUCUCCCUGCUUUCCCUUUGUGCCUGUGCAAGAGCUUCUGACUGUAUCUGGAUUAUCUGACUGUAUCAGGAUUAUCUACUUCUACCCCCAGCUCCCCUCCAAGGUCCUCUGUCCUGAGCAUGUAUCAGGGGAGCCUGGCUCUUGCUCUGUGCAGCCCCCCCUUGCACUUGGCUCUGUCUGGCUGCAGAGGGCUGUAAUUUCACAGCCUGCUCUCCUCUCCAGCUCCCAAUGACAUCACCCACUCUGAUUAUAUAAAGCACAGGGAGGAAGCCUUUAUUUAUGCGUGCUUUUUGCUCACAGCUUCAGCUGUCUCAGUGUACAACACACAUGCAAAUCCCUCUGCAGGAACUGGGCUCUCUUUAGCCUGAAUCAAAACUGCACUGCAGAAAAAGGUGUGGGUGCAAAAAAAAAAAAGGUCUCUGUUUCCUUCCCCCCCACCACUGAAUACAUUUUUGAGGAGUUUGGUUAGGAACCAACCUAGCACAACACUCUGCACCACAGCAAGCUGGGCACAAAGCCACCAGCUUCCUCCCUGCUGGGAAGUCCCCAGAGAGCUGAGGGACCUGUGCUGGCAGCUCCAAGCCCUGUGUCUGCUGGUCACAAAGUGGCUACACAGGGGCUGGAAACCUAACCCCCUCACAAUGCCCAGCAGGGUCCCUGCAAGGGCCAGCCCAGGGCUGUAAGGCCACUGGCAGUUUCCCUUCCUGGGCCCUGGUGGGCUCAGCCAAGCCCCUGGGCAGCCCCUGACAAGGGGUGCCCCCCACCGCCUGCUCCAUCCUCCUCUGGUCAAUGCUGCAGAAACGCUGCAGACACGAGCCGUCCCUGAAUGUUAACACUGCCAGAGAGACAGCAGCUUCUUUGCCAGAAGUGGUUUGGGAUUUGUGCAGGGUCCUUGCCAACUUCCACUACGAGCAGAAGCGAUGGAAACUGAGAAAAGAAACUUUCUCUGCUGAGGAGUCAGGCAAACGUGCACACACCCAGCUCUGGAGCAGCAGGUUUACCAGACUCAGCACUAUCAACCCCGUCAGACACUGCUGAGAGACUUUGCUGAAUCAAGGCCUGAACAUCUGCAAAACACACACAAACACACAGACACACACACAAACUCUUCCCAUCUUUAAAAGAUCAAGCCUCCCUCUCAGCAGGAAAUGACCAACUCGCCUCCAGCAGCAGUUCAAAAUGCUGAAUUCUUAAUUUUGUAUGUUGAAAGAGGGGAGCAUCUGAGGGAAAAGAGAAGCAUUUCCCAGAUAUUUUUGUACUAAUGCCUCCAGGUCUAUAGGGCUUGAAUUCAACAGUGGAUUUAAGCAUGUGCUCAACAUUAGGAAUAUGCUCAAGUUCCACUGAGGCUAAAUCAGACACUGGAUCUUUGUGAGAUGUUAAAAAAAUAGAACCAAACCAAAAGAACCAGAAGAAGGAGGAUCCUAACAUGGAGAAGGACAUUAUCAUAUGUCACCUCUUGCCUCAAAGCCUUUUCAAAGUCGAAUCUAAUUUAACCCUGAAAUUAGAAACCACCAACUUUGUUUGGAUUUCAGAGCCUAACAGAUUGUCUAAAAAAUUCAGGAGGGAUCACUGGUUAAAGAAAGCAAUUCCUGGAGAAACACAUGUGACCCCACAUCAAUAAUUCAAUGUACGGGAAUGAUUUUGAGAUAAAAGUAAUGAGAAACACAUGCAAAAACCACAGGGCAGGGAAAACACGCUUUCCUUCUAAAAGCAAUUCACAGGUCAGAGGCUGAUUAUCUCCAACAGCCAUCGCACUUGAUGUUUUUUCCUUACUCUUGUCCCUGACCCCCAGCCCAGCCCUCUCAGCGAGGUAUCCGCUCCCUGCUUUACCGAGCACCUGUCUCCAGCGAGCCAAGGGGUUUUUCCAGGCGCCUGGCUGCGGGCUGGAGGAGGCAGGAGCGGGCUGACCCCGCCGCCGGUGCUGCAGCGCCUUAUGCAGGGCUGCGAGCCCUCCGGCCGCGCCCGGCCCGCCUGCAGCGAGCGCAGCGAGCCCCGCUCGCCCUGGCUGCGCAGGGCACCACGGACACAUGGCUCAGAAGGAAAUCUGACUCACAGCUAGAAGUUAAUAUUCUCUACCCGAGCUGCGAAAUCGCCCGCAACAAGCCUUGCUUUUGGAUUUUAAAUCGGGUCUCUCCUCGCGAUUCUUUUCGUGUGUUUGCUCCCAGCUGGAAGGGGAUACUUGCUCAUCUGACCCUGUUUCCAGUCAGUUUCUACCGAUGGCUCCCUGGCAUGUAUUAGUAUUCCAAAUUAUUUGUAUUCCAAAUUGUAAUAAAAUCUGUCAUGAAAAUUAA